rnacentral:rRNA from 1 species
UGGGGAAUUUUCCGCAAUGGGCGCAAGCCUGACGGAGCAACGCCGCGUGAGGGAGGAAGGCCUGUGGGUUGUAAACCUCUUUUCUCUAGGAAGAAGGACUGACGGUACUAGAGGAAUCAGCAUCGGCUUACUCCGUGCCAGCAGCCGCGGUAAGACGGAGGGCGCUAGCGUUGUUCGGAAUCAGUGGGCGUAAAGGGCGCGUAGGGGGCUGUUUAAGUCGAGGGUGAAAGCCCGGGGCUCAACCCCGGAACGGCCUUCGAGACUGGGCAGCUCGAGACCGGAAGAGGAGGGUGGAAUACCCGGUGUAGAGGUGAAAUUCGUAGAUAUUGGGUGGAACACCAGUGGCGAAAGCGGCUCUCUGGUCCGGAUCUGACGCUGAGGCGCGAAAGCGUGGGGAGCAAACAGGAUUAGAUACC